rnacentral:lncRNA from 1 species
GCGUGAUUCGCGAGUCCACUGAUUUAAACAUCAAGUUCUCUGCAGCCUCAAUCUGUGUUCAGACAACCCUGUGGAAGCUAGAUGACUUUGAUGAAACGACAGGGAAAUACUUUAUUACAAUUGGUGGAAAUGAAGGAAAUCCUGGUAGAGAAACUAUAAGCAACUGGUUCAAGAUUGAGAUUUUAUUACGAUUGGUGGAAAUGAAGGAAAUCCUGGUAGAGAAACUAUAAGUAACUGGUUCAAGAUUGAGAAAUUUGAACGUGAUUAUAAGCUGGUCUACUGUCCUACAGUAUGCAACUUUU